rnacentral:rRNA from 1 species
UACGUAGGGGGCAAGCGUUGUCCGGAUUUAUUGGGCGUAAAGAGCGUGUAGGCGGCCAUACAGGUCAGCUGUGAAACUCGAGGCUCAACCUCGAGACGUCGGUUGAAACCGUUUGGCUAGAGUCCGGAAGAGGAGAGUGGAAUUCCCGGUGUAGCGGUGAAAUGCGCAGAUAUCGGGAAGAACACCCGUGGCGAAGGCGGCUCUCUGGGACGGUACUGACGCUGAGACGCGAAAGCGUGGGGAGCGAACAGG